CAGGAGCUCGUCUCACACUGAAUAUGAAGAAAUCACAAGUAAAUUGCUUACAUCUGCUGCCGGUGGCUGGGAGGGCUAUGAUUGGUUCCCAGAGGUGUGCACCAUCUCACGCGGGCAGCGGAAGGGGGCCUUGGUGCAAAGAAGAAACCAUUAUUCUGCUGCGACAUCUGUCAACAGAGGAUGAAAGAUGAAAAGAAGUCUGGCUGCUUUUAUAAGAGUGCUGAUGGGUCUGCAACUUUCACAUCUUCUCCCUGUCAAGAACAAUAUAUUUGCCUUAUUAACCACUGAGCUGGUAGCCUUUAUUCAGGUUCUGACAUAAACCAACUAGAUUAUCAAAUAUGGCAACUCAAUUUGACCAUAGGUCACACUGAUAACGUGUCUGUAAUACAUUAUUUCAUGACAUACAAUGCAUUUGGUUUUCCUCAGCCAGCGCUUAGGUAGAUAAAGUACUGUAUGCAUUUUCAAUAUUCCUGUGCUCAGGAGACUCUUUAUGUCCAGUAUAUAGAUUAGUGUGCCUCUGCGCGAGCUGAAGGAAGACCUGAUAGUCUUCACCGUUCUCCAUAAUUGCUAUGACAGACUCACUUAGGCUGCUCCUCCGUCCAAUGGCAUUAUUGACAUGGAUAUAUCUCAGCAUCUUUGUGGUGGGGAGAGAGGGCCUUCCAGUCCACCAUAAUGGCUGGAUAUGUACAGUGUGGAAAGGAAACCAACCUUUUAUAAUGAUAGGUAGGUAGUAUUCCACUGGGACAUCUUUUAAGAAGAAAAGGGAUUAGAUAAAUUAGUCACAAAGUCAUGCGACCAUUUUGACGUUUCUUUGAAAAUAUUUACUGUAUGCAAUAUUCAUGAAACGGUUUGUGAGAAAGCCAGAUGAUAGUAAUCAUCAAAUAAGAAACCAACUUCAAAAUAUCCUGUUCAAAUGCACAAAAAAAGGAAUUUGACCAAAACUUGUUUUCCUCCAUCUGUCAAAGACUCUCCCUAUUAAGCAGAAGGCACCAUUACUCUGAUUCCCACUUGAUAUACAUUUUUUAUGUCUAAAUGUUUCCCAUAACCUUGUUGCUUAAGUGAUUUGUUAGGGAAAAUAAAUACAUAAUAAUUAAAAGAGGAGGUUUGUUUGGCUCAUGAAUCAGCAGUGGGCUGUGAUGGCUGUG
ensembl:lncRNA